AACGAAUGCUGGCGGCAGGCCUAAAACAUGCAAGUCGAACGCUGUAGCAAUACAGAGUGGCGCACGGGUGAGUAACACGUGGGAAUGUGCCUUUUGGUACGGAACAACUUUUGGAAACGAAAGCUAAUACCGUAUGGUCCCUUCGGGGUAAAGAUUUAUCGCCAAAAGAGCAGCCCGCGUCUGAUUAGCUAGUUGGUGAGGUAAUGGCUCACCAAGGCGACGAUCAGUAGCUGGUCUGAGAGGACGAUCAGCCACACUGGGACUGAGACACGGCCCAGACUCCUACGGGGGGCAGCAGUUAGGAAUAUUGGACAAUGGGCGCAAGCGUGAUCCAGCCAUGCCGCGUGAGUGAUGAAGGCCUUCGGGUUGUAAAGCUCUUUAGCCGAUGAAUAUAAUGACUGUAGUCGGAAAAUAAGCCCCGGCUAACUUCGUGCCAGCAGCCGCAGUAA
rnacentral:rRNA from 1 species